GGAGCAUGUGGUUUAAUUCGAAGCAACGCGCAGAACCUUACCUACCCUUGACAUGGGUAUCGCGGGACCGGAGACGAUCCUUUCAGUUCGGCUGGAUACCACACAGGUGCUGCAUGGCUGUCGUCAGCUCGUGUCGUGAGAUGUUCGGUUAAGUCCGGCAACGAGCGCAACCCACAUUUUUAGUUGCCAUCAUUCAGUUGGGCACUCUAGAGAAACUGCCGGUGAUAAGCCGGAGGAAGGUGUGGAUGACGUCAAGUCCUCAUGGCCCUUACGGGUUGGGCUACACACGUGCUACAAUGGUGGUGACAAUGGGUUAAUCCCAAAAAGCCAUCUCAGUUCGGAUUGGGGUCUGCAACUCGACCCCAUGAAGUCGGAAUCGCUAGUAAUCGCGUAACAGCAUGACGCGGUGAAUACGUUCCCGGGCCUUGUACACACCGCCCGUCACACCAUGGGAGUUGGAUCUACCCGAAGGUGGUGCGCCAACC
rnacentral:rRNA from 1 species